AUGAAACCCCGCCACUCGUCUGCCAGCGCCAGGUGAAGGACUCACGUCGCAGCGUCCCAGCACAGAACAACAUCGCGGCUGCUUGAGACAACAGGAUCUUAUUGGUGCCAUCAAGCCCGGAUCAACUACAGCCGCAAUUUUCAAGUUAAGUACUAAUGUGUCUUAUGGGGUUAAAAUGGUAACAUCUUACAGAUAUGGACUGGGACUAACUUGUCAUAGGCACGAUAGAAAGUAAAUGAAUUGAGUGUGUUUUAUUGACAUACCGAGGGAUGUUUCUGGUAGAUAUUCGGACGUGCAUUUUGUAAACGGAGGCUCUUUUUGCAGCCAAGGCUUCAGUCCGUUUCCGUGGUGUACAUGCCUGGUGUGUGGCUGAUUUUUGUUUCUGUUGGUUUCUGUGACUGUUGAUGACCGGAUUGUAUUCGGUCAGUUAUUGUGCGUAAAUUCUGUUCUUUACAAAACAGGGUCUUCCUUGGUUCACCAUCUGUUGUAAUUUCUGUUUUAUGUCGUGGUCAGUGGUUGUCGGGAACCUGGACCAUUACAUAAUCUGCUUUGUGUUGCUCUCUUGGGUCCCGAACCAAGAGAACAACACAGGCCAGAAAGGACGACAUGUGGUUGAAGAACCUAUUUGAUAUUAGUAGUCAAUUCCUGUAGAAUAGUCGACUUCUCGACGUAGACACAGUCACAGAAACCGAAUCAGCCAUACAUCGGGCUUGUAUACCACAGAAACAGACUGAAGCAGCCAUAGCUUCUCGAAAUUUAAACCGAAACAAACGUCAACAUUACUUGGGAUUUCAUCAAAGCACACUCAAUCGUUACUACACAUAAAUUCAUCCCACUUUAUCCACGAUAAACCUAGAACGGAAAUUCUAAUCACAAACCAAGUUAACUUUCUGUACUUUAACUUACGUGUAAGGUAUAUUUCCUAUAUGUUUGAGCCAAAAUAAUUCAUUUUCGUCUCGUCUUUUCUACCGAGGAUCAUCGCACCGUAAGAAGAAAUGUCCGGACGUGGAAAGGGAGGCGACGACUGGCGAAGGAAGGUACCGGACGUGACCGAAUGUAGAUUCGCAGUCUUCCAACACAUGACAAGGAGCUUAUCGGUGCCAUCAUUCCCGGAUCAACUGCAGCUACAAGGUUCAAGUUAAGUACUAAUGUGUCUUAUGGGGUUAAAAUGGUAACAUCUUGCAGAUAUGGACUGGGACUAACUUGUCAUAGGCACGAUAGAAAGUAAAUGAAUUGAGUGUGUUUUGUUGACAUACCAAGGGAUGUUUCUGGUAGAUAUUCGGACGUGCAUUUUGUAAACGGGAGGCUCUUUUUGCAGUUAAGGCUUCAGUCUGUUUCCGUGGUGUACAUGCCUGGUGUGUGGCUGAUUUUUGUUUCUGUUGGUUCCUGUGACUGUUGAUGACCGGAUUGUAUUCGGUCAGUUAUUGUGCGUAAAUUCUGUUAUUUACAAAACAGGGUCUUCCCUGGGUCACCAUCUGUUGUAAUUUCUGUUUUAUGUCGUGGUCAGUGGUUGUCGGGAACCUAGACCA